rnacentral:rRNA from 1 species
UCGUGGUGUGAGUUGUCUUCUUAAUUGAGAUAACGAGCGAGACGUCAACUGUUAACUAGUGCAUUGAUUACUUCGGUUGUCAAUGUUCACUUCUCAACGGGAUUUGUGGUAAUUAAACUUCAAGAAAUGACGCAAUAACA